UCGUGUUCUUCCUAGUGAUUGUUGCAGCAUUUGUGAGCGCCAUCAGUGGCAGGACCAUAGAGAGUGGGGCUGACAUGGAGACGGCGUUUUUCCGUCCCCACUUCCGCCCCUAUCCGGGCUUCUUUGGUGGAUAGGGGAGCGGUGGAGUUGGUGGAAGAUUUGCUGGCGGUGGUGGUGGCGAUAUCGGUGACUUGGCUCAAGGUACUUAGAAAUAUGAGGGGAGGGGUAUUGUGGCAACUUGGUCAAUCAAUUACCCGCCGCUUGGCCCAGUCCGAUGAGAAAACAGUUGCUCGCUGGUGUUCUGUACGACUUCCACGUUGCUCAUGGCGAGAAGAUGGUCCCUUUUGCAGGCUGGAGCAUGCCGAUUCAGUACAAAGACUCGAUUAUAGCCUCAACGUUGAACUGCAGGGAAAACGGCAGCCUCUUUGAUGUUUCACAUAUGUGUGGUCUGAGUCUUAAAGGAAAAGACUGUAUCUCUUUUCAUAAUAUUUACUGAGUAGUCAUUGAGUUGUUAGAAUUUCUUCAUAAGACCUGGAUUCUAGGAAUGCUGCUUUUCUGCAGCAGUCAUGCUGAUAUUUAUGAAAUAUGAUGAAAGUUUUACACA